rnacentral:rRNA from 1 species
AUUAACGCUGGCGGCAUGCCUAAUGCAUGCAAGUAGAACGAGUCCGCCACAAGGCGAACUAGUUGCGAACGGCUGAGUAAUGGAUAGGAAUUUUCCCAAUGGUGUGGAAUACCUCAUCGAAAGAUGAGCUAAUACCGCAUGACCUCGAAAGAGAAAAGCACUUAACUGUGCACCGAUGGAUGAGCCUAUCUCCCAUCAGCUUGUUGGUAGGGUAAAGGCCUACCAAGGCUAUGACGGGUAGGGGGCGUGAGAGCGCGUUCCCCCAGAAUGGGACUGAGACACGGCCCAUACACCUACGGGUGGCAGCAACAGGGAAUCGUACACAAUGGACGAAAGUCUGAUGUCGCAAUGCCGCGUGGAGGAUGAAAGCCUUCGGGUCGUAAACUCCUUUUACAGUAAUAGAGAUGUUAUUGAGAAUAAGCACCUGCUAACUCUGU